UGGUGAACCUGCGGAAGGAUCAUUAUCGAGACGGGGCUUUUGCUCCAGCGGUCUCCGGGCCACUCUUCACCCUUUGUUAACCUUACCUUGUUGCCCGGCGAGCUAUCGGAGCUGAUUGUCUGGGAGUAUUCGAGGGAUGAUUUACUUUUCUAUCCUGAUGACGAUAACGACCUCUCGCGAGUAUGGGAUCAUUCAUUAUGGAAUAAUUGUUUCGGUCAGUCUUCGGCUGGGGAUAAUACAUCAUCAGGCGUGGGCGCCCGCGAGUGCUGUUCGACGUUAUUGGGAGGUGACGCACCUCCGCAGUGACAAGUGCUCGCGGGUACAGGGCAAAGCAAACCCAGUAUUUUCU
rnacentral:rRNA from 1 species